rnacentral:rRNA from 1 species
GAUGAACGCUAGCGGCAGGCCUAACACAUGCAAGUCGAGGGGUAACUAGAGUGAUAGCAAUAUUACUUUGGCUAGACCGGCGCACGGGUGCGUAACACGUAUGCAACCUACCUUAUACUGGGGAAUAACUUCGAGAAAUCGGCGCUAAUACCCCAUAACAUUGCGAAGAGGCAUCUCUUUGCAAUUAAAGCUCCGGCGGUAUAAGAUGGGCAUGCGUCCAAUUAGCUAGUUGGUGAGGUAACGGGUCACCAAGGCUACGAUUGGUAGGGGUUCUGAGAGGAUGAUACCCCACACUGGUACUGGGACACGGACCAGGCUCCUACGGGAGGCAGCAGUGGGGAAUAUUGCGCAAUGGACGAAAGUCUGACGCAGCCAUGCCGCGUGCAGGAUGACGGCCCUAUGGGUUGUAAACUGCUUUUGUACGGGAAUAAACCCUUCUACGUGUAGGAGGCUGAAGGUACCGUAAGAAUAAGCACCGGCUAACUCCGUGCCAGCCGCCGCCGUAA